GACGUAGGGCGCGAGCGUUGUCCGGAUUUAUUGGGCGUAAAGAGCUCGUAGGUGGUUUGUCACGUUGUCCGUGAAAACUCACAGCUUAACUGUGGGCGUGCGGGCGAUACGGGCAGACUGGAGUACUGUAGGGGAGACUGGAAUUCCUGGUGUAGCGGUGGAAUGCGCAGAUAUCAGGAGGAACACCGGUGGCGAAGGCGGGUCUCUGGGCAGUAACUGACGCUGAGGAGCGAAAGCGUGGGGAGCGAACAGG
rnacentral:rRNA from 1 species